rnacentral:rRNA from 1 species
GUCUAUGGCCAUACCACCCUGAAUGCGACCAAUCUCAUCUGAUCUCAGAAGCUAAGCAGGGUCGGGCCUGGCCAGUACUUGAAUUUAUCUGCUAUUUUCU